UGACUCUCGGCAACGGAUAUCUCGGCUCACGCAUCGAUGAAGAACGUAGCAAAAUGCGAUACUUGGUGUGAAUUGCAGAAUCCCGUGAACCAUCGAGUUUUUGAACGCAAGUUGCGCCCGAAGCCAUUCGGUUGAGGGCACGUCUGCCUGGGCGUCACG
rnacentral:rRNA from 1 species